rnacentral:tRNA from 1 species
GGUUCGAUGGCGUAGUUGGUUAUCGCUAACAUACAGAGGGUCCCCGGUUCGAGCCCCGGUCGAAUCA